rnacentral:rRNA from 1 species
UACGAAGGGGGCAAGCGUUGUUCGGAAUUACUGGGCGUAAAGGGCGCGUAGGCGGCCGAUCAAGUCAGGCGUGAAAUUCCCGGGCUCAACCUGGGGGCUGCGCUUGAUACUGAUUGGCUUGAAUGCGGGAGAGGAUAGUGGAAUUCCCAGUGUAGAGGUGAAAUUCGUAGAUAUUAGGAAGAACACCGGUGGCGAAGGCGGCUCUCUGGAACGGUACUGACGCUGAGACGCGAAAGCGUGGGGAGCGAACAGG